AUGUUAAUAUCUUAAUAAUCAACCUGGUCAAAACCUUUCAGGUUUCUUCGUUUGAGUCAGUCGCCUUGAUUCAGAAUGUCACGAGCCUUAAGAUUUCAUGCUGAGGCGCCUUGCAAAUCCGACACUUAAGAUCCUCCUAGACCUUGAGGUGAUCAGCAUAAGAGGCCAGAUCCCCUCGAGCCAUCUACACGUAGCUUCACCUUAUUCUUUAAGGGCAGAAAAUUUGAGACGGUGAUCGCCGUAACAGUAAAUUUGGCUUUCAAUUGGGGCCCCCCUCCGGUUUAGAAAGAGGAACACCAGAUUGACCACAUUCCCACCUAGAAAAAUCUUCUUGCGUCAAUCAAGCCUCACCUUGGCUCAUUGGGCUGUCAGUUUGAUCGUCGUUAGAUUGAAGAGAACACCUAGAUGCAGCGAUCGGCUAUAGAUACUUCUAGAUCGUCUAGAUCUGCUAGACCUUGGGCCAAAGAGGGUCGACCUGCAAACUUGCAAGGUUUAUUUUAAAUACGCAUUACAGUGUUUUCUAUUCUAAUGUAAUUCUGCAAUGUAAUUCAGCUUUUAACAUUUUUCUAGGUAGUAAAAUGCUCAAGACAAGUAGGCCCAGAGAUUUUUUUCCAACUGACAGAUGCUAGUUCUUUAGUUGUCUGAAAUCAGUUUUGACUUCAGCAGGGUCUCACAUGCAGCAAGUGCUGCAGCUGUUUCCUGAUACCUGUUUUCUCUAACCUAAAACCAGGUCCCGGUCUAGAUCCCGCUCAAGGUCCCGAGGAAGAAGGUAUUCUCGGUCACGCAGUCGGAGUCGUGGUAGGAGGUCCAGGUCAGCUUCCUAUCGUAGGUCUCGGUCCGUUUCCCCUCGUAGGUCUAGGUCUGUGUCUCCCCGCCGGUCCCGAUCGGGUUCCUUGAAGAGAUCAAGGUCUAGAUCAAGAUCCAGAUCUAGAUCCAGAUCUGUUACGUGGCCCCGAAGCAGGUCUAGGUCUCAUGGCAGAUCAAAAUCUGGCUCACUAGCUAAGAGUCAGUCAAAGUCCCGAUCACCAUCUCCAAAAAGAAGUCAUUCACCAUCAGGAAGCCCCCAAAGAAGUGCAAGUCCUGAAAGAAUGGAUUAAAGUUAUGAAGCUAAUCUUUUAGGAAGAAAGUUAUUUUGCUUACAUUAUUAUAAGGGAUUUUGUGGUGUCUUUGUAAAUGUAAGAGUGUAGAUAGAAGAGUAUAUCAGCUGAAAUUUGGCAUGAUCUGGGUCUUCUGAGUUAGUCACACCAACAGACUAGCACAGGUCUCUUUUUAUUGUAUGAAUUAACUUCCUGUGAUAUGAAAAUGUGGGACUUUUUUUAUUGGCACAUUGAAAUAAAAUGUGUAUUUUUAACUAAAACUUCUCUGUAGUAACCCUGCUGCUUCUGUUAACAUUUGGCUAUGUGCCAUGUAAUGUGGAUGAAAAAUGUCUAAAAUGGGAAUGACUAAUAUCAGUGUCUUCUCAAACUAAUCACUUUUCACAUUUGUUGAAUGGUCUUCAGGAUGAGUUUCUGCUUUCUUUGAAAUGGAUUUUAAAAUCCAUCUCUGCAGAUGGCUAAAAAUUUGAUUAAUCCCUUUUUAUUCCUUUACAAUAUUUACUGGGCAUUCAUUCUUCUCUCUAAUUAUUCUGCAAAACUUACUCUCUGGUGCUUGACUAGUUGUGAUACCAGAUGCCCAAAAAUGUAAGGAUCAGCUUUUAUUCAAAACACAUUUUUUAAACGAGUAACAUCUGCAGAAACCUCUAAAGGUAAUAGAAAUCAUUAAUAACUUGACGAUUGCUACUUUUGCUUGUGCAUUUUUUAGUUUUUUAGGCUACUGAUACAAAGAAAACUUCUUAAAAUGUCUUAAGACACGUUUUCCUUUUUUGAGGGAAGACACAAGGUCUUCUGACCCUACUUCCUGAAGGACCUUAGGAAAAUGUGUUUGAGAGGCAAAAGAAAGCUGUUCCUGGUCUUUCUGCAGCUCACUCAGACUUUCUUCCUUAAAGUGAAAAUUUCUCGUGGCUGACCUCAGGAAUUCUAACCUGCUUCACAGAAAUUGGUAUGCAGCCCAGAGCCUAGAGACUAUUUUGCUGAAUUAAACUAAUUUCUUACAGCAACUGCACACCUGCAGGAUUAAUUAUUUGUGCAUAAGUAUGUCAAACUCUUGUGUUUGUCCUCAUCCUGUAGUCAAGAAUAUCAUAAGGCACUUCGUUGACACAGAUCACAGCAAAAGAUUGGAAACAGUGUUAGACUGUGAACAAACGAGGCAGAGGGGGAAAAAAGCAAACCUUUUUUUUUACUGUGGUGGGAUUUCUAGCAGAAAUAAAGGCCAGUAUUGGCAGUAAACAAGCACUGAAAUGGAGAGUGAGGUCUGUUCAUGCUUCUUGUGAAAUCUGUCAUGGCAGAUUGCUUUCAAAUGUGUGAGUGACAGCAGAGCAUCUUAAAUGAAAAAGAAUUGCAAGAUUAAUUUUGCUCACACCUUGGGUAACCCAUGAUUUUCAAAAAACAAGUUUCCUCCUAAUGAUGACUUUAUGGAGCUUUUUCAGUAAAUAGUGCAGAUAUUGAAUGUACUGUCAUGCUGCAGCAUUGUUUGACCUUUAUGCCUCAUCCUAACUGUUGCGGUGCUUGAUCUCUGCCUGGACACUCCUGGGGUGUUCAGUGGUGGGGAUGAGUGUUUGAUCUACCAGGUGCAGGGAUCAAUAUUCAGGCAAUAUCCAUGAAAUUCCACCAUUGCUGCAAUGGAAGAGUGGGGUGGGAGUGACACAAAUGUUGCCCUGCAGUGAUUUAGCAGAAAUGCCCAAAGCCUAUGACUUGUGUUUGGAGUAUUUCUUGGUUGUAUGUUGCCUGCCCCAUUUCUAGCACAUCUGGUGACAGGCACACAUGCCGCUGCUCUGGAAUUUGGUCAGCUUUUUUCUCUUCUGUACUAAGGCAAACCUACUCCACAAUAAACCUGCAGACUAACACGA